UAAUAAAUAAAAUUUUUAUGUUUUAUUAAAUUUAUUUUAAAUUUAUUUUACAUAUAAAUUUUAGUAUUAAAUUUUAAUUAUUUUAAUAAUAUUAAUAGAUUUUUAUAGUAAUUAAAAUUAAAAAUUUAAGAAAUUAAGAUUUAGUAAUAUAAAAAUUAAUAACUAAUUUUGUGCCAGCAGUUGCGGUUAUACAAAAGUUAAAUUAAAUUAUUUCAGUUUAUAAUAAAUAAAAUAAAUUUAAAGUAAAUAUUAAAUUAUUAGGUAAAAUUUUAAUUUAGUUAAAUUUUAUAUAAAUUUUAUGAUUUAAUAAAUUUAAAAAUAAACUAGGAUUAGAUACCCUAUUAUUUAAAAUUUAAUUGAUAAUGCUAAAAUAGUAAAUAAUAAAUAUUGAAACUUAAAUAAUAUGGCGGUAUUUUAGUUCAUUUAGAGGAAUCUGUUUAAUAAUUGAUAAUCCACGAAUAAAUUUACUUAAUUUAAAAUUUUAUAUAUCGUUGUUAAAAAAAUAUUUUAUAAUAAAAAUAAUAUUUAAAAAUUAAUAAUAAAAAAUUAAUUCAGAUCAAGAUGUAGAAUAUAAUUAAGAAUAUGAUGGAUUACAAUAAAAUAAUUUAGAUGAAUAAUUAUAGUUGUAAGAUUAAUUUGAAGGUGGAUUUAAAUGUAAUUUUAUUUAAUUUAGUAAAAUGAUUAAAAAUUGAAAUAUGUACAUAUUGCCCGUCACUUUCAUUUUAAAAUUGGAAUAAGUCGUAACAAAGUAGAGGUACUGGAAAGUGUUUCUAGAAUGAA
rnacentral:ncRNA from 1 species